rnacentral:ncRNA from 1 species
GAUUGCAGUCGGCCUUGUGUCUGUAAUGAAUCUUUCAAAUGUCUGCCCCAUCAGUUUGUUGGUAGGUGAUUUCCUCACCGAGAUGGUAACGGGGAAUCAGGGUUCGAUUCCGGUGAUUGUUCAUUGAUUUUUUACGAUCAGGACGUGUUCAGCUCGGUUCACUGGCUGCGCAACCUUUCAUCCGUAUCUGUGUUGAACAGAUGAUGGUAGCUUGACGAGUUUGUCUUACUCACCUAUCUAUAUGAUUCGGAUGCCUUAAAACAGAUGUCGGGAGCGGACGGUAUGUUUACUUUGAGUGCCCAAAGCAGGACUUUGCGCCUAAAAAUUCUUUCAUGGAAUAAUGACAUAGGACUUCAUUUCUAUUUUGUUUGUUUUCAGGUCCGAAGUAACGGUUAGGACGGACAGACAAGGGCAUUUUGUAAGGUGAUGUUAGAGAUGAAAUUCUAGGAUCACUGUCAGACAAACUAUAGCGAAACCAUUUGCCAAGAAUGUUUUCAUUGAACAGAAGCUAAAGUCAGAGUUUUGAAGAUGAUCAGAUAACGUUAGCGUUAAUCUCCAACUAUUCUAAUAUGAAAUAUCAAUACAUUUAUAAAUGUAUUAAUUAUUAAAAAACUACUGAUUGUCAACAAAAUUAGU